rnacentral:rRNA from 1 species
GCCGCGGUAAUACGGAGGAGGCAAGCGUUAUCCGGAAUUAUUGGGCGUAAAGCGUCCGCAGGUGGUUUAUCAAGUCCGUUGUCAAAGCGCGGAGCUUAACUCCGUAUGGGCAGUGGAAACUGAUCGACUGGAGUGCGAUAGGGGCAAGGGGAAUUCCCAGUGUAGCGGUGAAAUGCGUAGAGAUUGGGAAGAACACCGGUGGCGAAAGCGCUUUGCUGGGUCUUCUCUGACACUGAGGGACGAAAGCCAGGGGAGCGAAAGGGAUUAGAUACCC